rnacentral:rRNA from 1 species
GAUGAACGCUGGCGGCGUGCCUAAUACAUGCAAGUCGAGCGAACAGAUAAGGAGCAUGCUCCCUCGACGUUAGCGGCGGACGGGUGAGUAACAUGUGGUUAACAUAACUCUACGAAUGGGAUACCUUUGGGAAACCGGAGCUAAGAACGGAUAACUUAUGGCACCGCAUGGUUCUAAAGUGAAAGAAGGUUUUUCUAACACUUAUAGCUGGCCACGCGCAGUAUUAGCUAGUUGGUAAGGUAACGGCUUACCAAGGCUACGAUACGUAGCCGACCUGAGCGGGUGAUCGGCCACACGGGAACUGAGACUGGGUCCAGACUCCUACGGGAAGCAGCAGUAGGGAAUCUUCCGGAAUGGGCGAAUGCGUGACGGUGCAACGCCGCGGGAGUGAUGAAGGGUUUCGGCUCGUAAAGCUCUGAUAUUAGGGGAGUAGAAAAGUGUAAGUAACUGUGCACGUCUUGACGGUACCGGAUCAGAAAGCCACGGCUAACUACGUG